rnacentral:rRNA from 1 species
GAUUAUGACGUACUUGUACUGAUUGAGAUUUUAACACGAAGUGAGUGGCGAACGGGUGAGUAACACGUGGGUAACCUGCCCAGAAGUAGGGGAUAACACCUGGAAACAGAUGCUAAUACCGUAUAACAGAGAAAACCGCAUGGUUUUCUUUUAAAAGAUGGCUCUGCUAUCACUUCUGGAUGGACCCGCGGCGUAUUAGCUAGUUGGUGAGGUAAAGGCUCACCAAGGCAGUGAUACGUAGCCGACCUGAGAGGGUAAUCGGCCACAUUGGGACUGAGACACGGCCCAGACUCCUACGGGAGGCAGCAGUAGGGAAUCUUCCACAAUGGACGCAAGUCUGAUGGAGCAACGCCGCGUGAGUGAAGAAGGGUUUCGGCUCGUAAAGCUCUGUUGUUAAAGAAGAACGUGGGUAAGAGUAACUGUUUACCCAGUGACGGUAUUUAACCAGAAAGCCACGGCUAACUACGUGCCAGCAGCCGCGGUAAUACGUAGGUGGCAAGCGUUAUCCGGAUUUAUUGGGCGUAAAGCGAGCGCAGGCGGUCUUUUAAGUCUAAUGUGAAAGCCUUCGGCUCAACCGAAGAAGUGCAUUGGAAACUGGGAGACUUGAGUGCAGAAGAGGACAGUGGAACUCCAUGUGUAGCGGUGAAAUGCGUAGAUAUAUGGAAGAACACCAGUGGCGAAGGCGGCUGUCUGGUCUGCAACUGACGCUGAGGCUCGAAAGCAUGGGUAGCGAACAGGAUUAGAUACCCUGGUAGUCCAUGCCGUAAACGAUGAUUACUAAGUGUUGGAGGGUUUCCGCCCUUCAGUGCUGCAGCUAACGCAUUAAGUAAUCCGCCUGGGGAGUACGACCGCAAGGUUGAAACUCAAAAGAAUUGACGGGGGCCCGCACAAGCGGUGGAGCAUGUGGUUUAAUUCGAAGCUACGCGAAGAACCUUACCAGGUCUUGACAUCUUCUGACAGUCUAAGAGAUUAGAGGUUCCCUUCGGGGACAGAAUGACAGGUGGUGCAUGGUUGUCGUCAGCUCGUGUCGUGAGAUGUUGGGUUAAGUCCCGCAACGAGCGCAACCCUUAUUACUAGUUGCCAGCAUUAAGUUGGGCACUCUAGUGAGACUGCCGGUGACAAACCGGAGGAAGGUGGGGACGACGUCAAAUCAUCAUGCCCCUUAUGACCUGGGCUACACACGUGCUACAAUGGAUGGUACAACGAGUCGCGAGACCGCGAGGUUAAGCUAAUCUCCUUAAAACCAUUCUCAGUUCGGACUGUAGGCUGCAACUCGCCUACACGAAGUCGGAAUCGCUAGUAAUCGCGGAUCAGCAUGCCCGCGGUGAAUACGUUCCCGGGCCUUGUACACACCGCCCGUCACACCAUGAGAGUUUGUAACACCCAAAGCCGGUGGGGGUAAACCUUUUGGAGCUAGC